rnacentral:tRNA from 2 species
GCGCUUGUAGCUCAGUAGGAUAGAGCACCAGAUUCCUAAUCUGGGGGUCACAGGUUCGAUUCCUGUCAAGCGCGCCA